GACAGACAGCACACUGGAGGUUAAGUCAUGCACUAAAUAGGGAGCAAGGGAGCAUCCUAUAACUCUCCUAUAACUGUUCUGAGACCAGUGCAGACAGACAGCACACUGGAGGUUAAGUCAUGCACUAAAUAGGGAGCAAGGGAGCAUCCUAUAGCUCUCCUAUAACUGUUCUGAGACCAGUGCAGACAGACAGCACACUGGAGGUUAAGUCAUGCACUAAAUAGGGAGCAAGGGAGCAUCCUAUAACUCUCCUAUAACUGUUCUGAGACCAGUGCAGACAGACAGCACACUGGAGGUUAAGUCAUGCACUAAAUAGGGAGCAAGGGAGCAUCCUAUAGCUCUCCUAUAACUGUUCUGAGACCAGUGCAGACAGACAGCACACUGGAGGUUAAGUCAUGCACUAAAUAGGGAGCAAGGGAGCAUCCUAUAUCUCUCUAUAACUGUUCUGAGACCAGUGCAGACAGACAGCACACUGGAGGUUAAGUCAUGCACUAAAUAGGGAGCAAGGGAGCAUCCUAUAUCUCUCUAUAACUGUUCUGAGACCAGUGCAGACAGACAGCACACUGGAGGUUAAGUCAUGCACUAAAUAGGGAGCAAGGGAGCAUCCUAUAGCUCUCUAUAACUGUUCUGAGACCAGUGCAGACAGACAGCACACUGGAGGUUAAGUCAUGCACUAAAUAGGGAGCAAUAUCCUGGAUGUAUAAUGAACAAUUUGAUGUAAAAAAAAUAAAUAAAAAAUCAGGCUUUCUAUAGUUCAGUAUUACCUAAAAUUUCACAACUUAGUCCUGCUGUGCACAUAUGUAAACAUUGAUUUUUAGGAAAAUUAUUUGCCCUAGA